rnacentral:lncRNA from 1 species
AUUAGCAACGGAGUAGCAGCGGCAGCGAUGAAGGUGGGGCUGGGAGGUGCAGUAGCCUAAACGGCAGGUGCGGCGGCGGCGGGAAUAGCAACGCAGCAGCAGCGGCAGCGACGGCGAAGGGGCUGGGAGGUGCAGUAGCCUAAACGGCAGGCGCGGCAGCGGUGGGAAAUAGCAACAGCAGCAGGCGCGGCGGCGGCGGGAAUUAGCAACGGAGUAGCAGCGGCAGCGACGAAGGUGGGGCUGGGAGGUGCAGUAGCCUAAACAGCAGGCGCAGCGGCGGCGGGAAAUAGCAACGCAGCAGCAGCGGCAGCGACGGUGUUGGGGCUGGGAGGUGCUGUAGCCUAAACGGCAGGCACGGCAGCGGCGGGAAAUAGCAACAGCAGCAGGCGCGGCGGCGGCGGGAAUUAGCAACGGAGUAGCAGCGGCAGCGACGAAGGUGGGGCUGGGAGGUGCAAUUGUCUGAACAACAGGCGCGGUGGCGGCGGGAAAUAGCAACAGCAGCAGGCGCGGCGGCGGUGGGAAUUAGCAACGGAGUAGCAGCGGCAGCAACGGCGGUGGGGCUGGGAGGUGCAUUAGUGAGGGCCUUUAUUUUACAAAAAAUGGGCCACAUCCAAUUGGCCAUCCAAUCUUUUCUCUCUUCACUCUCUUCCAAGUGAUGUAGCCACAGAGAACAUACAAUCACUAUUUUGGUAUUGCUGUGGCUGCCAGUUCAACUCUGGCAUGGAAGUCAUUUUCCUUACUCUGACUAUAUACCUACUACUAUUAUACUAAAGGGUAGUACCAGUGCUACUAUAUACAUACAAGUAGUUGUAGUAGCAGCACAUACAAUAAAUCGCAAGUGUGAUGCCAUUUCGUGAAACAAAAUUUUCAAAAUUCUCGCCAGUCCAGAAAUGCAAGUCCAGCAGGCGCGGCGGCGGUGGGAAUUAGCAACGGAGUAGCAGCGGCAGCGACGGCGGUGGGGCUGGGAGGGCCAUUAGUCUCAACAGCAGGCACGGCGGCGGGGGGAAAUAGCAACAGCAGCAGGCGUGGCGGCGGCAGGAAUUAGCAACGGAGUAGCAGCGGCAGUGAUGAAGGUGGGGCUGGGAGGUGCAGUAGCCUAAACGGCAGG